ACACCAGCACAGUUCACAAAUUGGAGGAUCACGCAAAGACUGUCAAAUAGUACAAUUAGACGGAGAAGAAACGGAAUUACGGAAAGUCAAUCCCUCUAGCAACAUGGGAAAAUUCCCCUUCUAGCGAUUUUUUUACCGCAGUAUAAGCAGUAUUCACAUCACACUGCCACUAAUUUACCCGUUACCACCCAAGUUUAAUCCGUGUCACCCAUUAAAAAACAACACCACCGUCGUCGUCCUACCACCACGCUAGGGGGCGGCGGUAGAGUUUGGCCGCUUGACGGUUUGACGUCUGCCUCC
rnacentral:lncRNA from 1 species